rnacentral:rRNA from 1 species
UGGGGAAUUUUGGACAAUGGGCGAAAGCCUGAUCCAGCAAUGCCGCGUGUGUGAAGAAGGCCUUCGGGUUGUAAAGCACUUUUGUCCGGAAAGAAAUCCUUGGCUCUAAUACAGUCGGGGGAUGACGGUACCGGAAGAAUAGGCACCGGCUAACUACGCGCCAGCAGCCGCGGUAAUACGUAGGGUGCAAGCGUUAAUCGGAAUUACUGGGCGUAAAGCGUGCGCAGGCGGUUUGCUAAGACCGAUGUGAAAUCCCCGGGCUCAACCUGGGAACUGCAUUGGUGACUGGCAGGCUAGAGUAUGGCAGAGGGGGGUAGAAUUCCACGUGUAGCAGUGAAAUGCGUAGAGAUGUGGAGGAAUACCGAUGGCGAAGGCAGCCCCCUGGGCCAAUACUGACGCUCAUGCACGAAAGCGUGGGGAGCAAACAGGAUUAGAUACCCUGGUAGUCCACGCCCUAAACGAUGUCAACUAGUUGUUGGGGAUUCAUUUCCUUAGUAACGUAGCUAACGCGUGAAGUUGACCGCCUGGGGAGUACGGUCGCAAGAUUAAAACUCAAAGGAAUUGACGGGGU